UGCUGUCAGUGAAUUAGCAGCGACAGUUGCCUGCUGUCAGUAAGCUGGUACAGAAGGUUGACGAAAAUUGUUACUGAGCA